rnacentral:rRNA from 1 species
UUAUUGGAGAGUUUGAUCCUGGCUCAGGAUGAACGCUGGCGGCGUGCCUAAUACAUGCAAGUCGAGCGAAUGGAUUGAGAGCUUGCUCUCAAGAAGUUAGCGGCGGACGGGUGAGUAACACGUGGGUAACCUGCCCAUAAGACUGGGAUAACUCCGGGAAACCGGUGCUAAUACCGGAUAAUAUUUUGAACUGCAUGGUUCGAAAUUGAAAGGCGGCUUCGGCUGUCACUUAUGGAUGGACCCGCGUCGCAUUAGCUAGUUGGUGAGGUAAUGGCUCACCAAGGCAACGAUGCGUAGCCGACCUGAGAGGGUGAUCGGCCACACUGGGACUGAGACACGGCCCAGACUCCUACGGGAGGCAGCAGUAGGGAAUCUUCCGCAAUGGACGAAAGUCUGACGGAGCAACGCCGCGUGAGUGAUGAAGGCUUUCGGGUCGUAAAACUCUGUUGUUAGGGAAGAACAAGUGCUAGUUGAAUAAGCUGGCACCUUGACGGUACCUAACCAGAAAGCCACGGCUAACUACGUGCCAGCAGCCGCGGUAAUACGUAGGUGGCAAGCGUUAUCCGGA